ensembl:lncRNA
UAUAAUUCAGUUUUAGAUGGGGCUCCAUCAUAUGAGUACUGCUAUUAGGUUUUUGCUGUGUCUCUAUACACUAAAUUGUCAAUAGCAAGGAAUUCUACUCCCUUUAAUAUUUCAUGGCAUGUUGUAGUAGUACCCAACUUGUGAACUUGUGCAGGUACUGUAAGAAUAUACCAAAAGGCAUACUCUGGAAGAGCUGUCUUCUAGAUGGGUAGUGCAGUCUACUUCAGUUUUUUUUUUGACCAGCCUGAAGCAGAGUCCAGAUGCAGACUGUAGGUGCUGAAGAGGGCCUGUAAGUAAUGUCCUCUAGAACAGGUAAACUGUAGCUGGGCUAUAGAGAGAAAGGAAAGUCAAGUGAGACACCUUCCCAAGGUCAUGUCUUGUGUGAUCACAUAAUCAACAGAAAAAGGGAGAUGAGUGGGAGAUGCUAGGUAGCCCUGGGUCAGUAGAGACUCUCCUUAGUUUUGCUAAUUGAUUUUAGUAGCUCCAUAGGGCCCAUGCUGAUUAGCUCUCAGUAGUCCUAGUAACCUCAGCCACUGAGAUUUCCUCUCUUUCAGUUAUACUCAGCCGUAUGUUGCUGCUCAUUUCCCACACUGGUCCAUGCCAUUGGUGACAUUCAUCAUAGCAUGAGUGCUACUUGCACUGCAUGUGGAUAGAGCUGAGUCCUUGAGUUUGGAAGGCAUCAGGUAUUCUUUAAAAAAAAAAUUAAGAAAAUCUUCCUCAAUCUUCUCUGCUGUAAGACAACUCCAUAGGCAUCCCAUAGAUAAUAAAAUUGAAAUCAGGCUUCCUGAUGUUCAGGUAAAUGGUCUCAGAAGUGACUCUUCUGUCAGAGCUUUCUCACAGGCAUCAAGGUAACAGUAUUAGUCCAUGCGUUUACAUCUGACUCUGCAUUUCCUCAGUGCUUCCAUGACUAUUUCAGUCUUGCUGAUAAGCCAUGUAAAUGUUGUGGCUUGGACCCAACACUUAGAGUUGUUCUAUCUAUUCUGGCAAACCAACUCAGGUAACAUAACCAUGCAGCUUAAGUAGUGCAUAUGUAAUUUGCAUUGCAGCAGAACUGAACCUCUAUGGUGUGGCUAAUCACUAUGCAGGGACUUAGACUGUAUUUUAUUCUGUGCAUAUAUACCAUCUUGUGCAGAAUGCUUUGCUCUCACACACUUCAUCCAAAUUCUUAUCUGACAACUGUGGCACAGCUUUCUUCCUCAUUUGCCUUUUCCAGCUUCCAGAAGGGGAUGAGUUUGGGCUGUCAUGUGUCCUGAUAUCCUAGAUCACUGUCCACACAAAUCUGGACAGUCAGUGCAUGCGCAGCCAUUGCACAACACAUGGAUGCUUGCUACCGAUAUACCACAUUUGUUUGCUUCUUAUUUGGGGACUUCUGACCAGAAAAAUUUUUAGGCCUCUAGCCAGCAGCAAAUUUAUCCGGCUUCAGAACAUCAGCUUUUUGGCAAGAAGCCCUGCUUGUGGGCAGUUUUCUUUGAGUGAUGUGGUCUGGCAGAAACUACAUGCUUCCUAUGAUUUUGCUCUACCACAUGCUUUCCUUCAAUUGCUUUUCAUAUCUUGAUGUUGCCUUCAUACUUUAUUUGUUUAUACCUGACUUCUGGUUAUAUAGCUCAUCAUCGUAUAUAUGUCAUAAUGAUGUCUAUGUCAACUGUGGUUCGUUUCUGUCUUCCUCUCUUCACAUAUGCAUGCACACUGUCUUCCUCUGCCUCCAACUGCUUUCUUUUUUUCUGCUAGAGAUGUUUCAUCUGACUACUGCAGCUGUUGUCACUUUCUCCCUUCUAUAUGCAUUUUCCCAUUUAAAUUAAUCUGAUGCCUGAGAACCACAUUUUUUGCAUAUCUCUUUGAUUCUAUCUCUUAAAUUGUUCCAAGGAGUUUCUUUGCAUCACCUUCAGAUUAUUUCCUUUCUGUUUUCUUUAGAAAAUAUCACCUCGCCUGAACCUGAAAAACAAUUGGUCUCUUUUCCCACGGUUCAGCUCUGUCAGUAAUGCUGGCCUUGAUGAAUUCUGACUAGACUUCCUUCUUUCUAAUCAGUGCCUUUGUAUGCUCUUCCAUCCUAAACUUCAAGUCUUGUAUGAACAUCUCUAAACUUGGCAUCAGGCCACUUAUUUUGUUCAACCAAACCUUGCCUAAAAUACAUUUAUUUUAGAACUAAUGCUCUAGAUUAGAUUCUUCUCAUUU